AAAACAGGGAAAGAAGUACAGGAAACGAAGGAGAAGAUAAUGGCUCCUAUUCCCCAAAAUGUUAAAGAUCAACAAAACAUCGUUAUAGAAAACUGGAAGGAUGACGAUUCUUUAU